UCUGGUACAGCUUUUUCAUGUUGCAGGAUUCUAAUAAUAUAAGUGCUUGUAGGCCGUAAUCAAAGUACCUCUUAAUAGAAUAAACUUAUUCAGUGGACUAUAAAUGAAAUUAUUACAUUACUCUGAGGUCCUCAAAGCAUAAGUAGGGGGUUGUACCUACAGUGUAGUUAAUUAUAUCCUAUGGCAUCUUAAUGUAAAAUCCUUAUCAGCAUUUGGACCAGCGCACAGUCAGGAUUCCCGAGGGACACAUCCUGCACUUUACUAUGGGAACAGACUUACCUCUCUCUGUUCUGCUGCUUUCCACUCCCAAGGAACCACUGGAACGGAGGAAUGGAUGGAAUGGUUGCACCCAACCCAGCAUAGCAGUUGUCACUUCAACACUCCCCCAGAAACAAGGCAGAGCAUCCCCUGCACUCAAAGAGACCAGCAAUAAAAGAGGACUUGAAAGUUCAACGUCCCACUGAAGAGCAAAAGAGCAGAGACAAAUGCAGUUUUAAUCUGUUUUGGUGCAGGCACAUGUAUCCCACGGUUCUGC